rnacentral:rRNA from 1 species
UACAGAGGUCCCAAGCGUUGUUCGGAUUCAUUGGGCGUAAAGAGCGUGUAGGCGGCCAGGUAGGUCGGUUGUGAAAACUGGAGGCUCAACCUUCAGAGGUCGACCGAAACCAUCUGGCUAGAGUCCGGGAGAGGAGAGUGGAAUUCCUGGUGUAGCGGUGAAAUGCGCAGAUAUCAGGAAGAACACCCGUGGCGAAAGCGGCUCUCUGGAACGGUACUGACGCUGAGACGCGAAAGCGUGGGGAGCGAACAGG